rnacentral:rRNA from 1 species
UACGGAGGGGGCUAGCGUUGUUCGGAAUGACUGGGCGUAAAGCGCGCGUAGGCGGAUCAUCAAGUCGGGGGUGAAAUCCCGGGGCUCAACCCCGGAACGGCCUUCGAGACUGGUGGUCUUGAGUUCGAGAGAGGUGGGUGGAAUUCCGAGUGUAGAGGUGAAAUUCGUAGAUAUUCGGAGGAACACCAGUGGCGAAGGCGGCCCACUGGCUCGACACUGACGCUGAGGCGCGAAAGCGUGGGUAGCAAACAGG